AUUGAACGCUGGCGGCAGGCCUAACACAUGCAAGUCGAACGGUAACAGGAAGCAGCUUGCUGCUUUGCUGACGAGUGGCGGACGGGUGAGUAAUGUCUGGGAAACUGCCCGAUGGAGGGGGAUAACUACUGGAAACGGUAGCUAAUACCGCAUAACGUCGCAAGACCAAAGAGGGGGACCUUAGGGCCUCUUGCCAUCGGAUGUGCCCAGAUGGGAUUAGCUAGUAGGUGGGGUAACGGCUCACCUAGGCGACGAUCCCUAGCUGGUCUGAGAGGAUGACCAGCCACACUGGAACUGAGCCACGGUCCAGACUCCUACGGGAGGCAGCAGUGGGGAAUAUUGCACAAUGGGCGCAAGCCUGAUGCAGCCAUGCCGCGUGUAUGAAGAAGGCCUUCGGGUUGUAAAGUACUUUCAGCGGGGAGGAAGGGAGUAAAGUUAAUACCUUUGCUCAUUGACGUUACCCGCAGAAGAAGCACCGGCUAACUCCGUG
rnacentral:rRNA from 1 species